AGAACGAACGCUGGCGGCAUGCCUAAUACAUGCAAGUCGAACGAACUCUUCGGAGUUAGUGGCGCACGGGUGCGUAACGCGUGGGAAUCUGCCCCUUGGUUCGGAAUAACAGUUGGAAACGACUGCUAAUACCGGAUGAUGACGAAAGUCCAAAGAUUUAUCGCCAAGGGAUGAGCCCGCGUAGGAUUAGCUAGUUGGUGAGGUAAAGGCUCACCAAGGCAACGAUCCUUAGCUGGUCUGAGAGGAUGAUCAGCCACACUGGGACUGAGACACGGCCCAGACUCCGUACGGGAGGCAGCAGUAGGGAAUAUUAGGACAAGUGGGACGAAAGCCUGAUACCAGCAAUGCCGCGUGAGUAGAUGGAGCCGUUAAGGGUUAGUAAAGUCCUUCUUUUAACCCGAGUAUAGUAUAA
rnacentral:rRNA from 1 species